rnacentral:rRNA from 1 species
GACGAACGCUGGCGGCGUGCUUAACACAUGCAAGUCGAACGGGCCCGCCCCUGUUUUUGGGGGUGGGUUGAGUGGCGAACGGGUGAGUAUCACGUGAGUAACCUGCCCCCUGCUCCUGGAUAACUGCUUGAAAGGGCGGCUAAUACGGGGUGUGCCGGCUGGUCCGCAUGGGCCUGGUCGGGAUAGUUUCAUCUUCGGGUGUUUCGGUGGGGGAUGGGCUAGCGGCCUAUCAGCUUGUUGGUGGGGUGAUGGCCCACCAAGGCGGUGACGGGUAGGCGGCCUGAGAGGGUGGGCGGCCAGACUGGGACUGAGACACGGCCCAGACUCCUGCGGGAGGCAGCCGUGGGGGGUAUUGCUCGGUGGGCGGAAGCCUGAUGCAGCGCCGUCGCGUGAGGGAUGGAGGCCUUCGGGUUGGGAACCUCUUUCUCCGGUGGUGAAGGCCCUGUCCGUUGCGGCGGGGUUGACGGUAGCCGGGUAUGAAGCGCCGGCUAACUACGGG